CCUACGGGUGGCAGCAGUGAGGAAUAUUGGGCAAUGGGCGUAAGCCUGAACCAGCCAAGUCGCGUGAGGGAUGAAGGUUCUAUGGAUCGUAAACCUCGUUUAUAAGGGAGUAAAGUGUGGGACGUAUCCUAUUUUGUAUGUACCUUAUGAAUAAGGAUCGGCUAACUCCGUGCCAGCAGCCGCGGUAAUACGGAGGAUCCGAGAGUUAUACGGAUUUAUUGGGGUUAAAGGGUGCGUAGGCGGCCUUGUAAGUCAGCGGUGAAAGUCUGUGGCUCAACCAUAGAAUUGCCGUUGAAACUGGGGGGCUUGAGUAUGUUUGAGGCAGGUGGAAUGCGUGGUGUAGAGGUGAAAUGCUUAGAUAUCACGCAGAACCCCGAUUGCGAAGGCAGCCUGCCAAGCCAUGACUGACGCUGAUGCACGAAAGCGUGGGGAUCAAACAGGAUUAGAUACCCGGGUAGUC
rnacentral:rRNA from 1 species